rnacentral:rRNA from 1 species
GUAGGUGGCAAGCGUUGUCCGGAAUUAUUGGGCGUAAAGCGCGCGCAGGCGGUCCUUUAAGUCUGAUGUGAAAGCCCACGGCUCAACCGUGGAGGGUCAUUGGAAACUGGGGGACUCGAGUACAGAAGAGGAAAGCGGAAUUCCAAGUGUAGCGGUGAAAUGCGUAGAGAUUUGGAGGAACACCAGUGGCGAAGGCGGCUUUCUGGUCUGUAACUGACGCUGAGGCGCGAAAGCGUGGGGAGCAAACAGGGAUUAGAUACCCUGGUAGUCCACGCCGUAAACGAUGAGUGCUAAGUGUUAGGGGGUUUCCCGCCCCUUAGUGCUGCAGCUAACGCAUUAAGCACUCCGCCUGGGGAGUACGGCCGCAAGGCUG